rnacentral:lncRNA from 1 species
CUGCGCGCCCGCAGAGAGAGUCCCGGAGCCGUAAGGCUAAAUGCGCUGCCGGGCGUGGCUGGGCCUUGAGUAAAUGCUGGAGGGAGCUAACCCGCCUCUCCCUACCGCUGGCGAGGAGACAGCUAUCUCCCCUUGCCGAAACAAUUCAGAGGCGACGCUGUGGAUAAUUCUGGAUGGGGACUCUGGCACAGAGGGAGGAGAAGGAAGGAAGACAAGGAUCCAUUGUUCAUCUCCACUAGGAACCCAAGAGAAGGAAAAGGAAGAGAAGAGUGACUCUGAUGUGGAAAGGCAACUGUGCUGGUGGGGAUAGCAGUUAAAACACAGGUAUUCCAUGAGGGAAACCAAAGCACGGGAAAGGCACUCAUAGGUACUCCUGUUGUUCAUCCUUUUACUUGUGCCCUGGCCCUCCAGUCACCCAAGUCCUGCCUCAGAGAGGAGCAUAUACAGUCACUUCAGAAUUCAGAGACGUACAUCGAUAAUGGAAUAACGAUGGAGUUUAGAGAAGAGAUGCUAUAUCACUUUCAAAGAUAAGUUCUGCUUACCUAUAGAAAAUAAUAGCUGUAAUAUCCAUAUGUUACAGAGAAGAUCUCACAAAUAGAGAAUAGAAUGGUUUGCCUAUAUUGUAAGAUUUUUUUUUCCCCAUUAAGUUUAUUGGUACAUUUUAGGUAUAAAAUACCUUUACAUACAUCAUUGAGAUCUUGUACCAUUACAUGAGUAUCUUGGUUCUUAUUUUUUUUUCCCCUUCCCCUGCCCACCCUUCCCUUUUUGAGAAGAUUUUGUUUCCAUUUUUUUCCUUUUCUCAUUUUUUCUUUUCCCUUCUUUCCUUUUCCCUACCCCUCCCACUUCCCC